GACGAACGCUGGCGGCGUGCUUAACACAUGCCAGUCGAACGAAGUGGAGAACGGGUGAGUAAUACGGGGGUAACCUGCCCUCAUUUAUGGACUAAACCGUGGAAACGGGGUCUAAUACCGACUAAAGGUGGAUGGGCUCGCGGCGUAUCAGCGUGUUGGUGGGGAGAUGGCAGACCAAGGAGGGGACGGGUAGGCGGCCUGAGAGGGUGACCGGGCACAGUGGGACUGAGAUACGGCCCAGACUACGACGGGAGGCAGCAGCGGGGGAGAUUGCAGAAUGGGCGAAAGCCUGAUGCAGCGACGGUGCGGGGGGGAUGAAGGUUUUAGGGUUGUAAACCUCUUUCGCUACAGAACGGGUAGGUGGAGAAGAAGCGCCGGCUAACUACGUGCCAGCAGCCGCGGUAAUUC
rnacentral:rRNA from 1 species